rnacentral:tRNA from 1 species
GGGAUUGUGGCUCAGUGGUACAGUGCUUGCCUGGCAUGCAUGAGACCCGGGGUUUGAUUCCCUGGUGCCA